UACAGAGGUGGCAAGCGUUGUUCGGAAUUACUGGGCGUAAAGGGCGCGUAGGCGGUUUUGUAAGUCCCGCGUGAAAUCCCCCGGCUCAACUGGGGAACUGCGCGGGAAACUGCGAGGCUUGAGUUCGGGAGAGGGAAGCGGAAUUCCGGGUGUAGCGGUGAAAUGCGUAGAUAUCCGGAGGAACACCGGUGGCGAAGGCGGCUUCCUGGACCGACACUGACGCUGAGGCGCGAAAGCUAGGGGAGCAAACGGG
rnacentral:rRNA from 1 species